GCCAGUGUAGCUCAGCUGGUUAGAGCAACUGAUUUGUAAUCAGUAGGUCGCGGGUUCGAGUCCCUUCACUGGCU
rnacentral:tRNA from 1 species